rnacentral:rRNA from 1 species
UACGAAGGGGGCUAGCGUUGCUCGGAAUUACUGGGCGUAAAGGGCGCGUAGGCGGGUGUUUAAGUCAGAGGUUAAAUCCCAGAGCUCAACUCUGGAACUGCCUUUGAUACUGGACACCUAGAGUUCGGGAGAGGUGUGUGGAACUCCGAGUGUAGAGGUGAAAUUCGUAGAUAUUCGCAAGAACACCAGUGGCGAAGGCGGCUCACUGGCCCGGUACUGACGCUGAGGUGCGAAAGCGUGGGGAGCAAACAGG